CAUCGGUGACAGGUGGUGGCAUGGUUGUCGUCAGCUCGUGUCGUGAGAUGUUGGGUUAAGUCCCGCAACGAGCGCAACCCCUAUUGUUAGUUGCCAUCAUUCAGUUGGGCACUCUAGCGAGACUGCCGGUAAUAAACCGGAGGAAGGUGGGGAUGACGUCAAAUCAUCAUGCCCCUUAUGACCUGGGCUACACACGUGCUACAAUGGUUGGUACAACGAGUUGCGAGUCGGUGACGGCGAGCUAAUCUCUUAAAGCCAAUCUCAGUUCGGAUUGUAGGCUGCAACUCGCCUACAUGAAGUCGGAAUCGCUAGUAAUCGCGGAUCAGCACGCCGCGGUGAAUACGUUCCCGGGCCUU
rnacentral:rRNA from 1 species